CUACCCUUAGGACUGGGAUAACCCUGGGAAACUGGGGCUAAUACCGGAUAGGCAAUUUUUCCUGCAAUGGUUUUUGGUUUAAAUGUUUUUUCGCCUAAGGAUGAGUCUGCGGCCGAUUAGGUAGUUGGUUAGGUAAUGGCUUACCAAGCCGGUGAUCGGUACGGGUUGUGAGAGCAAGAGCCCGGAGAUGGAACCUGAGACAAGGUUCCAGGCCCUACGGGGUGCAGCAGGCGCGAAACCUCCGCAAUGUGAGAAAUCGCGACGGGGGGAUCCCAAGUGCCAUUCUUAACGGGAUGGCUUUUCAUUAGUGUAAAGAGCUUUUGGAAUAAGAGCUGGGCAAGACCGGUGCCAGCCGCCGCGGUAACACCGGCAGCUCUAGUGGUAACAAUUUUUAUUGGGCCUAAAGCGUCCGUAGCCGGUUUAAUAAGUCUCUGGUGAAAUCCUGUAGCUUAACUGUGGGAAUUGCUGGAGAUACUAUUAGACUUGAGACCGGGAGAGGUUAGAGGUACUCCCAGGGUAGAGGUGAAAUUCUGUAAUCCUGGGAGGACCGCCUGUUGCGAAAGCGUCUAACUGGAACGGUUCUG
rnacentral:rRNA from 1 species